rnacentral:rRNA from 1 species
UACGGGGGGGGCAAGCGUUGUUCGGAAUUACUGGGCGUAAAGGGCGCGUAGGCGGCCAGACAAAGUCGAGCGUUAAAUUCCAGGGCUUAACCCUGGGCUGUUGCUCGAUACUAGUCGGCUAGAGUGUGGAAGAGGGUGCUGGAAUUCCCGGUGUAGCGGUGAAAUGCGUAGAUAUCAGGAGGAACAUCUGUGGCGAAGGCGACUACCUGGACCAGCACUGACACUGAGGCACGAAAGCGUGGGGAGCAAACAGG